rnacentral:lncRNA from 1 species
CCACAGGUGCUGACCCUAGAUUCACAAACCUUCAUCAUUCCUUUUUUCUGUCUGCAACAGCCAAGUUUUCCCAGCUCCCUCUGCCCCUCAGGGUCUUUUCCUGCCUGUUUUCUGCUUCCUCUGAAGAUCCCAAAGGCUGGAGAGGCUCCAGUCCCUCACACAGCUGCAGAGAAGUUUCCAGGGAGAUCUGGAGCUGAGGGAGAAGGUUUCUGUCCUGCCACCACGAUGCUUGACAUUGUGCUGAAACAUCAGUGUCACCAUCAUAUUUUCUGAAAAAUCCCUUCGGCGGGAAUUUCUUCUCCUGGGAAGCUGAGAAGCCUCAGAGAGGAAUGAACAA